GAUGAACGCUGGCGGCGUGCCUAAUACAUGCAAGUCGAACGAACAGGCCCUGCGCUUGCUCCUCUGACGUUAGCCGCAGACGUGUGAAUAACACGUGUAUACCCUACCUAUAUUUCUGGUAACACUUCGAGAAACCGGCUCUUAUCCCGGAUAAUCUCUUGCACCACGUUGUUCGAUGGUGAGAUACGGUUUUUCUGUCUCUUCUCGAUGCUUCCGCGCCGCAUUGGCUAGUUGGUAAGGUAACGGCCUACCAAGGCAACGAUGCGUAACCGACCUGACAGGGUGAUCGGCGACACGGGAACUGGGACACGGUCAAGACGACUACGGGAGGCAGCAGUAGGGAAUCUGCCGCAAUGGGCGGAAGCCUGACGGAGCAGCGCGGAGCGAGUGAUGAAGGUGUUCGGUGCGUAAAGACCGGCUACUAGUGAAGAACAAAUUUGGAAGGAGAUAUAGCGGUAUUGACGGUAAUGGGUCAGAAAGCAACGGCUAACUACGUG
rnacentral:rRNA from 1 species